rnacentral:lncRNA from 1 species
UAUUAAAAUGUAUGAACAGUACAAAUUGUAAAAUAAAAGUAUAUGCUUGUAUAAUCCUUUCAUAUAUUCCAAAUGUAAAUGAGUGGGUAGACAUGGGUAAUGACAUCUGUAACGACAUGGGUAGUGACAUUUGUAACAACAUGGGUAGUGGCAUGGGUAGUGGCAUGGGUAACGACAUGCGUAACGAAAACGCCACUGUACACAUUCAUAACAACAGUUUAAUAAAAAAUUCUGACGAUUGUAAUACUGUACGUACAGCUGAAAAUGAGAAUACUACUUUUAAUAAAAAGAAUGUACCAAAGGGGAAUGUAGUAGCUGAUACUUAUAAUAAUUAUUAUUCUAAAGAUGAUAGUAAUAUAAUGAAUAAUAUCCCACACCAAAUAAAAUAUCAACAUGUAUCAAAUUGGAACGGCACAAAUGAUAACAAUUCUAUGUAUACGUUAAAAAAUAACCAAAAAAAUAACAAUGCACCAAUAAAAAAAGGAAACAAGAACUUUAUAUGUAGUGUGAAAAAUGAUUAUAAUAACUACAUAUAUAAAUCCAAUGUGAUAAAUACAUUAUUGUCUUAUUUAUUGAAUCAAACUAUGUUUUAUAAACACAUAUUGACACAUUUAAAAAAAUACAUCUCAAAUCAGUAUCAUGUUGUGUUUUUAAAAGAAUACGAAUUGAGAGGUCGAUGUCUAUUUAAUAUAAUGAAUUUUCGUAAGUUUGUAAAAAAUAAAAAAAAAAAAAUAAAAAAACAUAUGAUGAUUUGUGAUGGGGUUAUAGGUGAUAGGUAUGGUGAUGGUCCCUGUGAACAACCUGAGGGAAGUCAAUCGAAGGGAAAUCCAACCAUGGGUGAAAUUUCUGACGAAUCAACUUAUAUUGAAACUCAAAUGUCUGAUACAAACAAAAAAAAUAAAUAUAUAAUACAAACAAAUGGAAAGAAUUACAAGGGAGAAGAGGUAUAUUAUAAAUAUAACAAUAAUAAUGACAAUAAUAAUACCCUUCUUGAAUACGGAAACAAAAAUAGAAGUAACUACACGAAUGAACAUCUGUACCAUUUGGGUAAUGAAAAAAAUGAUUAUAACAGUUUCAACCAUUUGAAUAGAAAUAUGAACUACGAUAGUUAUGAUAUAAAAUAUGUUACUAAAAACGUGAAUAAUGAGUAUAGUGAUAUAAAGAGAGAAGUUGUUAAUGGAUAUACGUCGUUAGAAAGAGAAGUAAACAGUUUGAUAGUAGCGGAAUCAGGGUUAAUGCAAUAUGGUGAAGAAAAAUACGUUAAACAUAGACAAACAGAGUAUACUAAUAAAGAUAGUACAAUAGAAAAACAUAUAAAAUGUAUGUUUGGAUAUGUAAUGGAAUUAAACAAAUUUGGAAUUUUAAAUGAUAUGAUUGUAAAAUUAUACACAAAUUUGUGUAAUAAAUUAAAACAUAUAGAUCUAGAAUUUCUAUUUUUAAUUUUAAAAACAAAAAUUGAAGAAGGAACAAAA